CACGGCGCUCCUCAGACGGAUAGCAGAGGCGCCUGAGCCCGCUGACCUCUCCUACAGCCAAUCAUCAGCACAGGAAAAAGAACAACAACCAGGAAAUCAGGCCCAGAGGGGGUGAAUAACUUACUCAGGUCACACAGCAAGACAGCAGCAGAGGGCUUCGAACUCAUCCCUCAUUAUGACGGACAGGAUUGACACACCAGUCACGAAGCCUCUUCGUCUUCCUGUUUGCCUCUGUAUGUAACCUCUCACCCCCCGCCAACCCGCCCCCAAAAACCAGAGGGCCCAGCACGGGAGACUGGAGCAGACGGAGGGGACGCUGCCACACAUCAGCGGGACCCCAGACGUGCGCUAGAAGAAGACAUGCAGGAAGGGCAGCAGGUGCAGCGGCCGCGGCCGGCGCCUGGAGAGACGCUUGGGGCGGCCGAGCUUCCUCAGAGGAGCGGGAGCAUCUGUGUCGGACGCUGUGCCGGGCUCGACACGUUCCCUGUAACGUUCUUCAGGGCCCUUUAAACUGGGGCUAGAGCACCUCCUUUGAGGAGUGAAGAUACAUCUGUGACUUGCCCGAGCGCACAGCUGGGAGGCCAUGGGUUCGGGGCAGUCAGCCCGGAGCUGGGCCCUGAACCUCCGCAGUGCACUCGCCCUCAACACGGUGGCGUCCUCCCUGCUGCUCCUCUCCACCAGAGGAACAGGCGCUCUGGGCUGCAGCCGUCGGAUGCGGGAGGACUCAGGUGUCCACCCGUCCUGCCCUGGGUCUCCUGAGGGUCAGACGCGAUCCCCAGGCUGGGACGUCCUUCACCCCCACCCAGCUCCCAAUUCCUGCUUCUCCCAGAGACCCGUGUAUCCUCACCCCAAUAGUUGUACUUCCAGCUGCAAGCGGAGGCCCUGGGGGCAGGACACCGGCCCCUCCCUUCCAGGAGGGUCUGGGUGGGAGGCUGACUCAGGCUGGGGGCUAGGUCCCUGGUCUGGGAAGAGCCCGAGGGCCAGGUAGGGGAGUCCUCAGGCUCUUACUCACGCUCCCCCUCGCCCAGUGCUUCCUGGGAUCAGGCUGGGAUGGGCUAAUCCUCUGGGGACAGCUUGGUGACCUCUCCCUGGGGACGGAGAUCCUGGUGUUGAUGGAGGUCCUGGCACACCUGGCUCUCCAGAAGCACGAAUAGGUCCCAGAACCUUUAAAAGCCAGGGCCGUGGGCCUGCAAAGGCAUCGGGCUGGCACCAUGGACGCCACGCGGGUGCUGCUCCUGGGCCUGCAGGCCUUCGCCACACUUGCUCAGCUGAACCCAUGGAGGACAACAUCUGG